AGUGAACGCUGGCGGUAGGCCUAACACAUGCAAGUCGAACGGCAGCACAGGAGAGCUUGCUCUCUGGGUGGCGAGUGGCGGACGGGUGAGGAAUACAUCGGAAUCUACUCUGUCGUGGGGGAUAACGUAGGGAAACUUACGCUAAUACCGCAUACGACCUACGGGUGAAAGCAGGGGACCUUCGGGCCUUGCGCGAUUGAAUGAGCCGAUGUCGGAUUAGCUAGUUGGCGGGGUAAAGGCCCACCAAGGCGACGACUCGUAGCCAGUCUGAGAGAAUGAUCGGCCACACGGGAACGGAGACACGGUCCAGACUCCUACGGGAGGCAGCAGUGGGGAAUAUUGGACAAUGGGCGCAAGCCUGAUCCAGCCAUACCGCGUGGGUGAAGAAGGCCUUCGGGUUGUAAAGCCCUUUUGUUGGGAAAGAAAUCCAGCUGGCUAAUACCCGGUUGGGAUGACGGUACCCAAAGAAUAAGCACCGGCUAACUUCGUGCCAGCAGCCGCCGUAA
rnacentral:rRNA from 1 species